rnacentral:lncRNA from 1 species
AAAAAAAAAACACGUUAAAAUAUUACUUUAUUUUAAAAAAAUAGCUAUUUUUUUUUGUUCCUUUUUUUUUAUAUUAAAAGGAUAAGUCAAACUAUGAAAAUAUGAUUCUUAAGAGAGAAACAGAAUGCCUACAAAAAAAAAUCAAGAAUUUAGAAGAUGUUUAUAUCGAAAAAGAAAAUAAAAUUAUGGAAAUAUUAGAAGAGAAAGAAGAUCUUAAAGAUCAUAUAUUCGAAAUAGAAAACGAAAAUUCCAAACUAAGGGAUAAUAUUGCCAAGCUUAAUGAAAGAAUAUUAGUAAACAUAAGAAAUUGUUAAUAUAUAUAUGUAUAUAUGUACAUACAUACAUGUAGACAUGCACACAUACAUGCAUAUUUAAAGGAUUUAACAGAUGUGUGUAAACAUACAGACAUAUGAUUAAAACUAGAAACAAAGAAUUACAACAAAGUGAUAUCUUAAUUAUAGAGAAUAAGAACUUAAGAAAUAUUAUUGAAGUACUGCUCCGUAAUCUUAUAUCUUUAAUGUGUAUAUAUUUGUAUAUUCGUAUAUUUGUUUGUAUGUAUGUGCACAUGUAUACAUGUACGUACGAACGUCCGAUGUGAUACAGUUUGCAUGAACUAUAUUUUGUAUCUUCAUUUUGACUUUUUUUUUUUUUUUUUUUUUUCUGUAAGGAUAUGAAGAACCAUAAAUUAUUAUUAGAAUCGAAGAUCACAAAAAAAAAUAAAAUAAUUGAUGUGAUUAAGGAAAAAUACCA